rnacentral:rRNA from 1 species
GUACUGUGAAACUGCGAAUGGCUCAUUAAAUCAGUUAUCGUUUAUUUGAUAGUACCUUACUACAUGGAUACCUGUGGUAAUUCUAGAGCUAAUACAUGCUAAAAACCCCGACUUCAGGAAGGGGUGUAUUUAUUAGAUAAAAAACCAACGCCCUUCGGGGCUCCUUGGUGAAUCAUAAUAACUUAACGAAUCGCAUGGCCUUGCGCCGGCGAUGGUUCAUUCAAAUUUCUGCCCUAUCAACUUUCGAUGGUAGGAUAGUGGCCUACCAUGGUGGCAACGGGUAACGGGGAAUUAGGGUUCGAUUCCGGAGAGGGAGCCUGAGAAACGGCUACCACAUCCCAAGGAAGGCAGCAGGCGCGCAAAUUACCCAAUCCCGAUACGGGGAGGUAGUGACAAUAAAUACUGAUACGGGGCUCUUUUGGGUCUCGUAAUUGGAAUGAGAACAAUUUAAAUCCCUUAACGAGGAACAAUCGGAGGGCAAGUCUGGUGCCAGCAGCCGCGGUAAUUCCAGCUCCAAUAGCGUAUAUUAAAGUUGUCGCAGUCACAAAGCUCGUAGUUGAACCUUGGGUCUGGCUGGCCGGUCCGCCUCACCGCGAGUACUGGUC